UACGGGGGGGGCAAGCGUUGUUCGGAAUUACUGGGCGUAAAGGGCUCGUAGGCGGCCAACUAAGUCAGACGUGAAAUCCCUCGGCUUAACCGGGGAACUGCGUCUGAUACUGGAUGGCUUGAGUUCGGGAGAGGGAUGUGGAAUUCCAGGUGUAGCGGUGAAAUGCGUAGAUAUCUGGAGGAACACCGGUGGCGAAGGCGGCAUCCUGGACCGACACUGACGCUGAUGAGCGAAAGCCAGGGGAGCGAAUGGG
rnacentral:rRNA from 1 species